rnacentral:rRNA from 1 species
CGUGUCGUGAGAUGUUCGGUUAAGUCCGCUAACGAGCGCAACCUCGUCGUAUGUUAUAUGUGUCAUACGAGACUGCCGGUAAAAAGACCGGAGGAAGGUGAGGAUGAUGUCAAGUCAGCAUGACCUUUAUAUCCAGGGCUACACACACGCUACAAUGGUCUGUACAAUGGGUAGCCAAGCCGCGAGGCGGAGCCAAUCCUGAAAGCAGGCCUCAGUUCAGAUUGCAGUCUGCAACUCGACUGCAUGAAGCCGGAGUUGCUAGUAACCGCAGGUCAGCAAUACUGCGGUGAAUACGUUCCCGGGUCUU